AUGAAUCGUUGUGCAGCUCAGGAGGAUCUGGUCAGUGCUCAGUGAGCCCACUUUCUGCUCCCUGUAACAGGUAGCCUGGCAGCUUGGUCAAGGAUGACCAUCAGAAAGAAGCUACAAUUCUCACAAUCAUGCAAGAAGGACAAGGAGCUGGUGACAUAUUAUAGGACAGAGGACAGCAGCCAAGGACAACAGGCAAUGGUCAACACGAGGGAAGUUUGAAAGGAAAGGAUGCAGCAGUGGGUAGAAGUCUCAGAAGAAUUUAGGACCCUUAAGCAGAUCCUUUGCAGACAUGUGUCCUGGUUCCAUUUCCUGUUGUCGUAGGAUCUGCAGUGAGCAUUUUCUAUAUGCGAUUGUGCCUGUUUUAAAGUCUGGGCCCAUGUGGAGGACAGAUUCAAGGGGAACAGAGGAAGAACAUGAGAUGCAGCCCAACGAGAAAUCUGCCAUGUGGUGUGGGAUCUCCUGUUUUUUCUGCAGUACACACAUGUAUUACAGUAUUACUGCGACCUGAGGAGGUCUUCAGGACAGAUUUACUCCCUGUCAGAAGGCAACCUGAACAUCUGGGAUUGACAACAGGCAAGAUUUGGAUGAAGACCUUCCUUUGCUCCUAUGGGAAAUAUGGUGGCUCAUGGCAUACCUUCCCAUCACAGGGAGGAAACAUGACGUUUUUAAUGUUAUUAUUCCUCUGAUGUGGUGAACUACUUCAGCCACUGGAAUUCAGAGGUCCUAGCCAUGGUUGAGAGGCGGUUUGGAUGAUAAAGCUGGUGCUGUCUACUGUGAAAGUACUUCAAACAGGAACAUUCUUUUAAGCUCAGUCAGUCCUUGGACCUGAUCCAAUUUUAAAGAUGAGGAGAAGUUUUUCCAUGGCUGCACCAGGAGCAAGAUCAAUACUCUUCUCUCUGCAGACUUUUCAAUUUUUUGUGUUUCCUUCAAGCUUUUUUCCCCUGCCACACUGUUCCUUUAUUCUAAGUUGCAUAUAAAAGUAAAUUUUGGGACACUUCAGUGAAAAAAUCUUAGAGCCACACAAAGAAAAUCUGUCUCUAAUGUUCAUUUAUCCCUAUAGAUGAAAAGGGUCAUUUAUAAUCAGAAAGCAAUUUGCAUGUAUGAGGAAAUUCAGGAGCUGAAGGUUAUGCUGGUAGAAGGAUUACUUUCCAUUCAAGUCUACUGCACUAUUUUUUAAUCAAUUGUUCUAGCCUUUAAUCAAUCAUAUUUGAUUUAAUUGACACUGACUGCAAUCCUUUUGCUUUUUGCUCUGCUGCAGUUGUAGGUAGCACAAAUCUGAUUGUACUUAGAGUGUGCCCAUUCAUUUUUUUCCAGGAGUGCAAAGCCUUAGCCAAAACCCUUAAGUUUACUUUAAAUUCUCUUAUUGAGUAUUAUAUUGGAGUUAAAAACACAGGGACAUUAAUUUCAUGGGCAGCAGAUAAUUUGUUUAAUUAAAAAAAACAAACCUACCAUUUGUGCUGCUGCAUCUGCUAGCUAUGGCUUUGAGUAUAUCUAAUAUUUAAAUUAGUUGCAAAAAUGAGACUAAUUAAUUUUAAGUACUAAUCUUUUACUAAAACCUCACAAUUCUCAGGAGAAAAUGUACAAUUCUGCUUCUUAUGUUGUUUAAGAAAGUAGCCAAAAUGCUGCAUUGCAAUUGUUUUGAUUUAAAAAUAUUGUAAUUUAUUUUAUCCUGACUUUGAAAAUAACUGAAGCAGCAUUUGGCUGUACCAUGAGAGAGUGCUGUGCAUCUUUAUCAGUUUCUUAACAUUAAUGUCCUUCUGACAAAUAUCUAAGUGUCUUGCAUAGCAUAUUGAAAUUCUGCUCUUCUGAGUUAUACUUGAACUUGUUGUCCAGCAUCUAUGGCUUUCAAAGCUGUUAAGGCUCAAAACUGAUGAUAGUAAUGCUGAACUCUUGUACUUUUCAUAAAAUGUGUCUCUUCAGUUCAUUGAUAAAGAACAUGAAACACAGAGAGGCGAAAUAAUUUAUCUACCCCGUAUCACCUGAGAAGUCACUAGUAGAACCUAAAAGAAAAGAGGUUUAAGUCACUUUUUCUAACCACCAUACUUCAUUUGACUCCUUGCCUCUGUAGCCACCCCUCAAUGUGUCAAAUUUGUAUCAGUAUGGUAAGGAAUAUUUGAAAACACAAAGAAAGCAUUCAAAAUAAAUGUUGGAAACAAGUUCUGUGGCUUUGCCACACUGUUUUUCCUACAUUUCAUUUUUGUUAAUGAAGUCAAAGGUUAUUUACACCAAGGAAAUACUGUUCCUCUGGAUUUUUUUCCCCAGCUGUUUUCCUCCUCUUGUGUAAGAUACUUUCUCUGCUUUCGAUGUCAAACUUUUUCAUGGGAGCAAAUUUAGAAGUUCUCACCUUUGUUGUCUGAUAGGUUAAAAUAGCAGUUCAUAUCCUCCAGGAUUGUACCCAUGCAGAAUUAUAUUCUGGGGGUGUUUACUUUCUAUCAAGUUUAAAUGAGGAUAAACCUCACCUUGAUUUUGCAUUUUACAGCAGAAGUUAUCAGUGGUUGUGCCUCCUUUCCAGCUUUUCUUUCCUUUCCUCUCCUAACUAGACAUUCUUUCCUCUGGGGGACUUGAUCUCAACAUUGUCUCUGUGUGGGCUGGCUUUCCACAAUGACAUUUUAGUAAAGCUCUUGUAUUUUUCCAGCUGGUGUUAUUGUUCCAGGUGUUUCUGAGCAAAGAAGAAAACAAUUACAUGCAGGGUUCCUUGCUUUAAGCCCUGCUACCCCUGUUCCAGAGUCUGCAAGAAAGCCAGAAGCUGUGCAUCUUCUCUGGAGAGGGCAACAGUCACCAGGUUUAAAGACAGAGACAGGCCUUUUGUGGGACUUUCAAGGACCUGGUAUGAGUUGCAGAACUCUGCAUUGACUCUGAAGCUUCUAUAAAACCCACUGCCAGCAUUUUGUACAAGUUUUUUUUUUUUUGAUUCAGAGGAGGCUUGCAUGUGGUGUAACACGAUGGGUAAACCCAGGCACUUCAUGGAUGUGAUACCUGUGUGAGGAGGGUGUUUUGAGCCUCCUUUGAGUGAAGAAUACUGUAGUGCUGCCCUAGUGCCAGGCUGACCAUGCCAUCUAGCAGAACAUGCUGCAAGGGAGCCCAUCUCCUCAACUUUGCCAGAACCUUUGUGCUCCCUGCUGGGAUAGGUGUCACAGAGGGCUAUGCCAGCUAUAUGCAUGGUGGGGGACUUAGGUUCCACAUAGUAACGUGAAAAAAAGGAGAAGCUUUUAGGUAUGAAUGAAGAAGAUUCAUUAAUUUGUUUUGUAAUGUAUCAACUGAGCUCAAACGAGGGGCUUUUUUUCUUGUAGUGUAUAAAAAUAGCAAAAUAUGGUUUCAUUUCUAAAUGAGGUAUCAUUUGUGCAAUGGAAUUUUACAUUGUCAAGUACUUGUAGGAUUAAAAAUCCUUUUUCUUUCCACAUUGAGAGAUUUUGCUGUUUGAAACCAAAUCACAGACUGCUGUAGUAGUUCCAUUUUUAAUUUAUGUUUGUAUUUAUUGAUAUAUUUACUGUUCACUGUACUCCUGAGGUGGAGAAUGCUCAGAGUAUCACAGGAGAAAUGCAGGACACGAGAGGAAUCUAACUUCAUGGUAUUAUUUUUACCUUUUUUAAAGACUUCUUUCCCAAAACACACUGCCUUUUGUUCAGCAGAGGUUUCAUUGUGUUUUGGCAAAAUCUCACUUUUUCAAUUAUCCCACAGUCUGUGGCAAAGCCCUUUUUUAAAAGAUGUCUUUUCUGUGUGUCCAUAAAUAACACAAAGAAAGAUAGUUAAUAUUGACCUUUUCUACCUCCUUAUCCUUUCAUUCUGGAGCAGAAUCUGUGAUUUUGAAGUUUUUACCACUGAAAAAAUGUAAGCACGGUGCAGCCAUCAUACUACUCAAUUUUCUGAGAAGUGUCUUUAGCUGGAUGUGAGCUCUUUUGCUGUUUUCUCAUAUCCUUUCUCUUAUUUUGUUUCAAUGAAAGGAGAAAUUGAGACAAAAAGAAAGAAAGAAAAGAAGUAGAAAAAGAAAAAAAAACACAAAAGAAAGAAGGGCUUUACCAGCUAGAGAGUGAUCAUGUGCAUAAGAAUCACUGCUGUAAAAAAUGUAGGUAAGUGGAGCUGUGGAGCAAGCAGAUGGUGGGAUAAUAGAGAAAAAAUAAUGUGGAAAAAUUUUCUUCUCCUGAUCCAUAUGCCUCCUCUUCUUGCCAUUAGUUUCUCUCAAAGGUUGUUGACAUAAGUCCUGAGAAUCUGCUGAACUGUGUGUAGCGCUUGCUUUAAAGUCAUGAAAAAGUAUCUCAGUUAAGAUGGGUGAACAGUAAUAUUAAAGUACAUAAGGUAAUCAGUAUCCUGAGCAGAAUGAACUUAAAAAAAGUUUCUCCAAACUACUGAUGAGUUCCUUAAAAUGCUGAAAUUGUGAGAGAUAGAAUAGUGUAUCCCUCUGUGUAUUGUACAUCUAGAAUCAAGCAAGGUCGGCUUCAUGUGCUAUUUUUCACAGAGAGUUGCUGAAUUUUGCAUGCAAUCUUUCAUUGUAAAACAUUCAAACAUUUUUUUCCUACCAGUGGUAUCAGUAACAACUGAAUGAAGUGUUUUUUCCACUGCACUUUGUUUAUUCCUGGCUUAAGAAGUCUGUUCUUAUGGGAAUUGCACUUAAUUUUCAUGGUUUUGGCUCCUGGAGCUUGCUUUGGACAAAGCCUUCUAGGCUCUGCUUAGGUGAUACACUAACACAGAUAUCAUAUCCCAAAGUAUAUCAGUAUGUCAAAACAGAGACACUCACAGGAGUAAGUUAGGCAUGUACCUCAGUAAAUUACCAAGUGAGAAUUAUGGUAUCAGUGAAGGUAAAUGAGGUUGCAGGGAAGAUCGGGUUUCUACUGGCAGUGUUUUGUGCUGAUGGUAUUUUCUGUUGUUUGAGGACAAAGUUAAGUUCUACAAAAAUUAAGAGAAUAAUUGAAAGGGGAAGACAAAUCCCUAGAAGAGAUUGAAAAAUAGGGUUUUUUUUCCUAUUUUAUUUUCCCCAGAUCUUUGUUAACUACUGUAGAAGAACAAAAAGAGGGGAACAUUCAAAUGUUUGAACCCUCUCUGGUAAUAACAAUGUUAAACAUCACAAGCCCAUUUUACGUCUGUCCAGUCAGAGGACAGGUAAAUGUAUUUUAGAAUUUCAUACCCUACUUUGCUGCUCUAUUUAGUUUAUAUUCUAGUUCCUGUGCUACCUAACUGUCUAUUAUAAGUUGUUUUAUUAAUUGGUGACUUUUGUUGUAUAGCUUGAAAUGAUAUAUAAUAGUGAAAAAAGAAAUGCAUUAAACAUGCAGUGUUAUAUCACACCCUUUUUUCUUACUUCUUUUUUUUCUUUCACAGUAUAUUGCCAACUUUUGCUUCUACUAUUCAAAAUGAAACAGAAAUAUUGGUGAAGAGGAGAUUAUCAGGUUCUAACAGCAGAUAGUGAGGGUUUAAAUUCUUCUGUCCAGUCCAAAUCCUGAUGUGACCUUUUCAUUCCAGAAUGAAAUGUUAAGGGUUAUGACACUUAAUACUUCCCUGCCACUGGCCUUUUGGCAAGCACCUUGGUGUUUUGGAGAACUCCCUCUUGCCCUGCUCAGGUUUUUCACUGUUUUCUCACCCUUCUAUGAUUAUUUCCUUAAGUCUUUGAAUUAAACAAGCAUUUCUCAGGAAAAUAGCUACUGAAAAAUUUAUUUGACUAGUUUUUUGAAAACACUGCCUCCUAAGAGGGCCUGCUGCUGUGCUCUCAUAGCAAACCCACUUGUUGCCCUUGUAUGUCCUUGGAGUGGUCCCAGGGCAAGUCAGUGCCAUGAAAGAGCCACAGGGAUCCUUGAAAGCAGGCACUAGGAUGAAGUAUUUUCUGGAUGAAGUCUUUUCUGGAUGCUUUCUUAAUUCACUGGACACAGCCUAAAGGAGUAGAUUGGGGUGACUUCCCCCUGGCCUCGUGUGGUAGCUGUCCAUAGUUUUUCCGAGUAACCAUCAGCCCUGGACAAUAUCAGCCAGCUCCCCAUAGCUUCCCCAAAGUGCUGAACUUUGCUGCCUGGAGUUGCUGUGAUGGAGGAAAGAGAAGCAGUGUGUGAGGCUUCUGUGCAUUUCCUUCUUCACCAUCAAAUACCAUAGCUGAGUGUCUCUAUAGUUACGGUUUCAACUCAGUAGGUUUAAAUACAUAAGGGAUAACAGCUUCUUCAUCAAAUUAAAAGUGCAGCAAUUGGAAAGGCUCAUUUGAAUGUGCUGCUGCUGCUUUUUGGGUCUGUAUAGUCCCGCUGCAACUAUCCAGAAUGAGAAAAAAGUUGGACUUUUUCUCAUUAAUGUAGCUCUUAGAAAAAUCUACCUUAUCUCCAGACCAACAGAAUUACAGAAAAUUGUACUGUAAAUGUAAUUUUUUUCUAUAGGAAUAAGUUAUGAUAAUUUUAGACAAAUACCCACACCAAGCUGGUAUGCUUCAUAAAAAUCAAAAGAGCAAGGAGACAUCAGGGUAGGGAUACACAUAUUUAAUAUGAUUUCAUUAGAUGGAUGAUCUUUAACUAGAGUAGAAAACUCAGCAAGUCAGCAUAGACAUUUUCUCAUCUGGUUUAAAGAGCUGCUGUUUGAUUUUAGUUUAUUUCAAUUGAUUGAAUGAAGCUUAAAAUUGUAUCAAAAAGGGGAUGAAAUGAUAAAAAACUGUGAAUUCUAGCAGAUAUAGUUACUUUGUUGUAAAUCUCUAUGUGGCCCUCUAUUUGCUUCUUGGUCAAAGUGUAGGAAAAAAAUACUUAAUGUCAGUAGCAAACAGCCAGGAUUAAUUUUUUUUUUGUUGUUGUUUGUUUGUUUGUUCUUAUGCAACAUAUUACUUUGUUCUUGCUGAUAUUCUGUUUGGAUUAAGCCUUCUCUAUUUAGAACCUUAAAAAGCAUUAUUUUUUAUUUUAUUCUUAUGUCUUAAAAUAAAUUGCACUAAGUUCAAACAGCAUGUUAAAAGUUAUUUUAGUUCUUCACUGGUUCAGAAAUCUUCUAAAAAUAUCCUUGACUCUGUCUGGAGGGCUAUAGAAUUUGAUGUUGCUGUUGAACUUUUGCAUCUCAGAACUAAAUAUUUUUUGUUCUUCAAAGUAAAGCUCUACAGACCUGAACUCUGCAGUUAAAUGCUGCUGAUUCAUUGUGCUUACAUAUUUUUACAUAAAUAAGAGUGACUGGAGACAUCAAAGCUGUUAUUGCUAUUAUGUUGUAUAUUGUGUACAGAUUGUAAUGUUAUUUUGUAUUUGAGGUUAAACUUUGGGGUUUUAUCUUCUAACUAUCAAAUCCUAUUCUUGAAUUUAAUCAACAAAUUUUAUGUGCAUUCAAAAGCAAUUAUAAAUUAAUUUUCUCCACAGCUUUCAUGUUCUCAAAGUAAACACUUUGCCAAUUUUCUGCAUUCAGUUCUUGAAUUCAAUUUUUGUUACCAGAUGCUCUGCCAUGCCCCUUGAAAUUUGGAUGCAAAGUAAAUAGAAAAUUCUUAAAUAUCUCUACCCCCACAAUCCAUGUUUUACAAAUAAAAACUUCUUUCUGUCAGCCAUAUCUGGUUCGUCUUUCAGACCACUGCUGUUGAACAAGGAAAAUACUGCUAAAAAAAUUGGAGCAUAAUUAAAUUUGAAAUGGAGAAUACACACAUAAUCAAGAAAUAGUUCAGAAAGCAAUGUUCUGAGUUAUGCAUGAGUCUAUGCAUUAUUUCUACAGGACUUGCUGUCCAUAACUAAGCAUUGGAUAUAACACAAAUGAAGUUGAACAACUGUGGAGGAUAAUUUAGAUUAUUUAAAUUCAGAUACU